AUGGUGGGGGGUGGAAAGCUUUUGUGGUUUUGGAUGGACUCGCGGCCUAUCAGCUUGUUGGUGAGGUAAUGGCUCACCAAGGCGACGACGGGUAGCCGGCCUGAGAGGGUGACCGGCCACACUGGGACUGAGACACGGCCCAGACUCCUACGGGAGGCAGCAGUGGGGAAUAUUGCACAAUGGGCGAAAGCCUGAUGCAGCGACGCCGCGUGAGGGAUGACGGCCUUCGGGUUGUAAACCUCUUUCAGUAGGGAAGAAGCGAAAGUGACGGUACUGCAGAAGAAGCGCCGGCUAACUACGUGCCAGCAGCCGCGGUAAUACGUAGGGCGCAAGCGUUAUCCGGAAUUAUUGGGCGUAAAGAGCUCGUAGGCGGUUUGUCGCGUCUGCCGUGAAAGUCCGGGGCUCAACUCCGGAUCUGCGGUGGGUACGGGCAGGCUAGAGUGAUGUAGGGGAGACUGGAAUUCCUGGUGUAGCGGUGAAAUGCGCAGAUAUCAGGAGGAACACCGAUGGCGAAGGCAGGUCUCUGGGCAUUAACUGACGCUGAGGAGCGAAAGCAUGGGGAGCGAACAGGAUUAGAUACCCUGGUAGUCCAUGCCGUAAACGUUGGGCACUAGGUGUGGGGGACAUUCCACGUUUUCCGCGCCGUAGCUAACGCAUUAAGUGCCCCGCCUGGGGAGUACGGCCGCAAGGCUAAAACUCAAAGGAAUUGACGGGGGCCCGCACAAGCGGCGGAGCAUGCGGAUUAAUUCGAUGCAACGCGAAGAACCUUACCAAGGCUUGACAUGGACCGGACCGCCGCAGAGAUGUGGUUUCUCCUUUUGGGGCCGGUUCACAGGUGGUGCAUGGUUGUCGUCAGCUCGUGUCGUGAGAUGUUGGGUUAAGUCCCGCAACGAGCGCAACCCUCUUCCAUGUUGCCAGUCGCGUAGUGGCGGGGACUCAUGGGAGACUGCCGGGGUCAACUCGGAGGAAGGUGGGGACGACGUCAAAUCAUCAUGCCCCUUAUGUCUUGGGCUUCACGCAUGCUACAAUGGCCGGUACAAAGGGUUGCGAUACUGUGAGGUGGAGCUAAUCCCAAAAAGCCGGUCUCAGUUCGGAUUGGGGUCUGCAA
rnacentral:rRNA from 1 species